CCUACGGGUGGCAGCAGUAGGGAAUUUUGCGCAAUGCGGGAAACCCUGACGCAGCAACACCGCGUGAAUGUUAAGCCCUUUGGGGUGUAAAGUUCUGUCAAUAGGGACGAAUUUUGACUGUACCUAUAAAGGAAGCACCGGCGAACUCCGUGCCAGCAGCCGCGGUAAUACGGGGGGUGCAAGCGUUGUCCGGAAUCAUUGGGCGUAAAGCGGUCGUAGGCGGUAUGUCAAGUAUGUUGUUAAAGCCCGGAGCUUAACUACGGUUCGGCAUUGGAUACUGGCCAACUAGAGUGUGUUAGAGGUAGAGAGAAGUCCUGGUGUAGCGGUGAAAUGCGUAGAUAUCAGGAGGAACAUCGGUAGCGAAAGCGCUAAACUGGACCAUUAUUGACGCUGAGGAACGAAAGCCAGGGGAGCAAAUGGGAUUAGAUACCCCGGUAGUC
rnacentral:rRNA from 1 species